UUAUUCGUGUGUAAAAGUUUUUUAAAUAGAAUUUUAAGUUUUGAAUAUUUUAUAAAUGGAGCAAUAAUAUGGUUUGCUAUAUUCCCUUCUUAAAGAAGGCUGGGCAGUCAUCAUGUGCCCAUGUGGGAUUGCAUAUUCCAUUAAAUUUAACAUCAGGGCAGAAAGCCCAAGAGACUAUACGGAUAUGCUGCUCUCGUGGAAACAUUUUCCAAAUGUGGUAGUUUAUGACUUUGCAAGGGGCUUAGUGAACCAUUGCAAUCUGCGGAAUCCAGUGAGUCUUCCUUUCAGUCCCAAUGAAGGACGACUUGCAGAGGCAUCACCGGAGAACAUUUCAAUGGCUGCUAAAGAUCAGCUUCAUAUCCAUUUGCCCUGAUUGAACACCCUUUAUGAUACAUUCCAUCAAUAUAACACCAAGGAUGUGAAGGAUGUGCUGAGGAGGAUUGCUUGGUACCAGAAUUACGUGGCUGGCUAAAUUCUCAGAGGGCAGAGCAGUUUUUUUUCUGAAAUGCAGAAAAAUAACUAUUUCCUCAUGAACUCUCCAGCCACUCAUGUGUUCUUGAUGAGAUGCAUCAUUCAUCACCAUAACCAGAGAGAAAACCAGAAGGCACUGGUAGACUUAAAGAACAUUUCUGGAAGGAAAAAUGUCACUAUCAAUUCCAGUGGACAGGCUGUGUUAGCUGUCCUUUCAGUGUUUUCGCCCUCUGUCCAACAAACUGUCCCUCCACCUGCCCGAUCAGCAUUUCGGCCAGUAGUUUCGCCAGCUCUCAAACUAACCGUCCCUCCAGUGGCUCCACCAGCAGACAAACCAGCUGACUCCCUUUCUGACCAACUGGUACUACAGCAAUUGAUACAUGAUCACGACUACUGGUCUGUUGCGGUUUAUUCACAGGAGAUGCACCCAGUUCAAGACAUGCUGCUCAACUAUGUACUGGAUACACACAGACCAGCAGCAGAGAUUCUUGCAAAGGAUGGUAAUGUCUGUCUGACAAGGGAGGACUUCUGGACCUUGGGCCUUCCUCAUUGUAUGGAAUCCAAUGGAAAAGAUGUCCACAUCGUGGACAUGUAUGUUGUUCCAACAUGGAAGUUAAAGAUGAAGAACCCAAUGGCUGACUUUCCUAGGGACAUGGCACGCAUCCGAAAAUGGUGGUGCAUUAGUCUAAUGGAACGGUUCCAGAUUGACGGAGGUUUGCAUACUGGACUAAUGAGGCCAGGGCAUUGCUCCAAGGUUCACUGCAGCCGAUAUACAGGGUCCCAAAGGUCAGCAAGAGGGAACAUGAGGUUCGAUUAGAAAAGGAUGACAGGUGCUUCAUAUUGGAGUUACCAACGUGUGUGCUUUCUGAAAUCCUAAAUGAAGUGGUACUACAGGAAGGAGGCAUACUUAAGUUUGGCUCUUGUGUGUACCACCUUCAGGGACACUGUGUCCACUGACUCCUUCAGGAGACGGGCAUUUUCAGUGGCUUGACAGUGUCGCUACAUGGAGCAGGUUUUCUGAGUCCUACAGAAAAUAAUUCUACACCAUGUACACCGUGGACACCUGUCGUGAAUGUGGAAUGCUUUUCAAAAACUGCACAUCUGGAUAUGUUGGAACAGGACAAAGGGGUGUACUUGAAGCAGUUUACUCCGAAGACCCACAUCCAGGUUACUGCGAUCACUUUUGCCGCCAAAUGCAAUAGUGUAAACGGACACGUAUACUACCUGUUGGCAGACAACCCUGAGCCAGCUGGGUGUUUUUCAAGCUGCAGGCCACCGUGACAAUUUGUGGCUGGAAACUUGGGAUUGAAUUUUGAAUUCUCCAGUGUUAUUACAGACUGUUAAUUAAUUGUUUAUGACAAAAAAGAGAUGUCAUAUUCAGCCUAUGUUUAAACAACCUUUGGGUGAACUUUUUGUAUAAUUUAAAAAAUGUUAUAACUAACAUCUAUUGAGAGUCUACUUUAUGCUUUUUUGGUUUUAAUAACGUCCUGUUCAAUGUGUAAUAAAAUUCAAAUCCUCUGAA